rnacentral:rRNA from 1 species
GAAAGCGUGGGUAGCGANCAGGAUUAGAUACCCUGGUAGUNCACGCCGUAAACGAUGAGUGCUAGGUGUUAGNCCCUUUCCGGGGCUUAGUGCCGGAGCUAACGCAAUAAGCACUCCGCCUGGGGAGUACGACCGCAAGGUUGAAACUCAAAGGAAUUGACGGGGGCCCGCACAAGCGGUGGAGCAUGUGGUUUAAUUCGAAGCAACGCGAAGAACCUUACCAGGUCUUGACAUCCCGAUGCUAUUCUUAGAGAUAGGAAGUUACUUCGGUACAUCGGAGACAGGUGGUGCAUGGUUGUCGUCAGCUCGUGUCGUGAGAUGUUGGGUUAAGUCCCGCAACGAGCGCAACCCUUAUUGUUAGUUGCCAUCAUUAAGUUGGGCACUCUAGCGAGACUGCCGGUAAUAAACCGGAGGAAGGUGGGGAUGACGUCAAAUCAUCAUGCCCCUUAUGACCUGGGCUACACACGUGCUACAAUGGUCGGUACAACGAGUUGCGAGCCGGUGACGGCAAGCUAAUCUCUGAAAGCCGAUCUCAGUUCGGAUUGGAGGCUGCAACUCGCCUCCAUGAAGUCGGAAUCGCUAGUAAUCGCGGAUCAGCACGCCGCGGUGAAUACGUUCCCGGGCCUUGUACACACCGCCCGUCACACCACGAGAGUUUGUAACACCCGA